GCCAAAAUAGCAUUCACCUGCAUAUACAUCUGCGCCUCCUUUCCUAAUCUUGCUUCUAAUUUCAAUUCGUAUGAGUGAAGAAAUCUAAAAGAGAAGAGAGUUAACAGCAAGAAGGUGCAGGUGUAAAUGCAGAUAAAGGCAACAUCUUGGC
rnacentral:pre_miRNA from 1 species